rnacentral:rRNA from 1 species
UACGGGGGGGGUAAGCGUUGUUCGGAAUUACUGGGCGUAAAGGGCGCGUAGGCGGUCGUGACAAGUCACUUGUGAAAUCUCCGGGCUUAACUCGGAACGGUCAAGUGAUACUGUCGGACUAGAGUACAGAAGGGGCAACUGGAAUUCUCGGUGUAGCGGUGAAAUGCGUAGAUAUCGAGAGGAACACCUGCGGCGAAGGCGGGUUGCUGGGCUGAUACUGACGCUGAGGCGCGAAAGCCAGGGGAGCGAACGGG